UGGUGUAAGGCGUAGCACCGCUGCUUGGAAAGCAGAGGGUGCGGGUUCGAGUCCCGC
rnacentral:tRNA from 1 species